rnacentral:sRNA from 1 species
GCUGGGCAGUGGCUCAUGCCUGUAAUCCCAGCUUCCUGGGAGGCUGAGACAGGAGGAUUUUGAGUUCAAAGCCAGCCUCAACAAAGGUGAGGUGCUAGGCAUCUCAGUGAGACCCUGUCUCUA